rfam:Gossypium raimondii Chr06_contig_107, whole genome shotgun sequence.
UAUUAAAAGUUUCAUUCACUUGUACUAUUUAAAACUGGCGUGAUUGACGAAAUAACUAAAUAGUUAUACAUGGCGUGCCACAUGUACAUCAUGUUGAUGUACAAAGACCAAUUUUUUACGGUAAGAACGGAAGAAAUUUUUCAUA